rnacentral:rRNA from 1 species
AUUGAACGCUGGCGGCAGGCCUAACACAUGCAAGUCGAACGAGUGGCGGACGGGUGAGUAAUGUCUGGGAAACUGCCCGAUGGAGGGGGCUAACUACUGGAAACGGUAGCUAAUACCGCAUACCAUCGGAUGUGCCCAGAUGGGAUUAGCUAGUAGGUGGGGUAACGGCUCACCUAGGCGACGAUCCCUAGCUGGUUUGAGAGGAUGAACAGCCACACUGGAAAUUGCACACGGUCCCGACUCCGACGGGAGGCAGGAGUGGGGAAUUAUGCAAAAUGGGGGUAAGCCGUAUGCAGCAAGGCCGCGUGUAUGAAGAAGGCCUUCGGGUUGUAAAGUACUUUCAGCGAGGAGGCGUUACUCGCAGAAGAAGCACCGGCUAACUCCGUGCCAGCAGCCGCGGUAAGAC